UGGGGAAUUUUGGACAAUGGGGGCAACCCUGAUCCAGCCAUGCCGCGUGAGUGAAGAAGGCCUUCGGGUUGUAAAGCUCUUUCGGACGGAACGAAAUGGUCAGGGUGAAUAUCCCUGACUGAUGACGGUACUGUAAGAAGAAGCACCGGCUAACUACGUGCCAGCAGCCGCGGUAAUACGGAGGGUGCGAGCGUUGUUCGGAAUCACUGGGCGUAAAGCGCGUGUAGGCGGUCUGCUAAGUCUGAUGUGAAAGCCCGGGGCUCACCCCCGGAAGUGCAUUGGAAACUGACAGACUGGAGUCCCGGAGAGGAGGGUGGAAUUCCUGGUGUAGCGGUGAAAUGCGUAGAUAUCAGGAGGAACACCGGUGGCGAAGGCGGCCCUCUGGACGGUGACUGACGCUGAGACGCGAAAGCGUGGGGAGCAAACAGGAUUAGAUACCCCGGUAGUCCCUGAGCGGGCUGGCAAGGCGCAU
rnacentral:rRNA from 1 species